rnacentral:rRNA from 1 species
CUCAUAGGAGACUGCCGGCGUCGAAGCCGGAGGAAGGUGGGGAUGACGUCAAGUCAUCAUGCCCCUUAUGUCCUGGGCUGCACACGUGCUACAAUGGCCGGUACAAUGGGCUGCGAUGCCGCGAGGCGGAGCGAAUCCCAUAAAACCGGCCCCAGUUCGGAUCGGAGGCUGCAACUCGCCUCCGUGAAGUCGGAGUUGCUAGUAAUCGCGGAUCAGCAUGCCGCGGUGAAUACGUUCCCGGGCCUU